UACGGGGGGGGCAAGCGUUGUUCGGAAUUACUGGGCGUAAAGAGUGUGUAGGCGGUGCUCUAAGUCUGUUGUGAAAUCUCCCGGCUUAACUGGGAGGUGCGGCGGAGACUGGAGUGCUAGAGUGUGGGAGAGGUAAGCGGAAUUCCUGGUGUAGCGGUGAAAUGCGUAGAUAUCAGGAGGAACACCUGUGGUGUAGACAGCUUACUGGACCACGACUGACGCUGAGACACGAAAGCGUGGGUAGCAAACAGG
rnacentral:rRNA from 1 species